GAAAUGCGAUAAGUAAUGUGAAUUGCAGAAUUCAGUGAAUCAUCGAAUCUUUGAACGCACCUUGCGCUCCUUGGUAUUCCUUGGAGCAUGCCUGUUUGAGUAUCAUGAAAUCUUCAAAGUAAAUCUUUUGUUAACUCAAUUGGCUUCUACUUUGGUAUUGGAGGUCUUUGCAGCUUCACACCUGCUCCUCUUUGUUCAUUAGCUGGAUCUCAGUGUUAUGCUUGGUUCCACUCGGCGUGAUAAGUUAUCUAUCGCUGAGGACACUGUAAAAGGUGGCCAAGGUAAAUGCAGAUGAACCGCUUCUAAUAGUCCAUUGACUUGGACAAUACUUUUAUGAUCUGAUCUCAAAUCAGGUAGGACUACCCGCUGAACUUAAGC
rnacentral:misc_RNA from 1 species